rnacentral:lncRNA from 1 species
ACAAGGUCAAACAAUUAAUAAGAGGAUUAUUUAUGGGCAAUUUGGUCAAGGGAAAGAUCAAUUUUGUCGAGGAGAAAACUAGUUUAUUGAGAAGGAGUAGUUUUAGGCCGAGACAACAAGCGGUGAUCGAAUGGGAUCGAAUACGAAGACAACAAGGUUUAUAGAGUGGUUAGAUGACUUAGUCAUUUAUUUGGGGGAUUCAAAAGGUUUGUCAAGUUAGUACAGGUAAAGAUCAUUCUCAGCGUAUAGUAGUACAGGUAAAGAUCAUUCUCAACGUAUAGUGGUCAUUCAGUACGAACGUAUACCGCGAGCGAA